GACGAACGCUGGCGGCGUGCUUAACACAUGCAAGUCGAACGGUAAGGCCCUUCGGGGUACACGAGUGGCGAACGGGUGAGUAACACGUGGGUGAUCUGCCCUGCACUUCGGGAUAAGCCUGGGAAACUGGGUCUAAUACCGGAUAGGACCACUGCCUGCAUGGGUGGUGGUGGAAAGCUUUUGCGGUGUGUGAUGGGCCCGCGGCCUAUCUGCUUGUUGGUGGGGUGAUGGCCUACCAAGGCGACGAAGGGUAGCCGGCCUGAGAGGGUGACCGGGCACACUGGGACUGAGAUACGGCCCAGACUCCUACGGGAGGCAGCAAUGGGGAAUAUUGCACAAUGGGCGCAAGCCUGAUGCAGCGACGCCGCGUGAGGGAUGACGGCCUUCGGGUUGUAAACCUCUUUCAGCACCGACGAAGCGCAAGUGACGGUAGGUGCAGAAGAAGGACCGGCCAACUACGUGCCAGCCGCCGCAGUAA
rnacentral:rRNA from 1 species